rnacentral:rRNA from 1 species
UACAGAGGGGGCAAGCGUUGUUCGGAAUUACUGGGCGUAAAGGGUGCGUAGGCGGCCCGCUAAGUCGAACGUGAAAUCCCCGAGCUCAACUCGGGAACUGCGUCCGAUACUGGCGGGCUUGAAUCCGGGAGAGGGAUGCGGAAUUCCAGGUGUAGCGGUGAAAUGCGUAGAUAUCAGGAAGAACACCCGUGGCUAAGGCGGUUCUCUAGUACGGUACUGACGCUGAGACGCGAAAGCGUGGGGAGCGAACAGG